rnacentral:rRNA from 1 species
UACGUAGGGUGCGAGCGUUAAUCGGAAUUACUGGGCGUAAAGCGUGCGCAGGCGGUUCGUUGUGUCGGUGGUGAAAGCCCCGGGCUUAACCUGGGAAUGGCCAUGGAAACUGGCGAGCUGGAGUGUGGCAGAGGGGGGUGGAAUUCCGCGUGUAGCAGUGAAAUGCGUAGAGAUGCGGAGGAACACCGAUGGCGAAGGCAGCCCCCUGGGCUAGCACUGACGCUGAGGCGCGAAAGCGUGGGGAGCAAACAGG